rnacentral:rRNA from 1 species
AUUGUAUCCACGAUUGGGGAAUUUUCCGCAAUGGGCGAAAGCCUGACGGAGCAAGACCGCGUGGGGGAAGAAGGCUCUUGGGUUGUAAACCCCUUUUCUCUGGGAAGAAAGUUGUGCAAGCAACCUGACGGUACCAGAGGAAUCAGCAUCGGCUAACUCCGUGCCAGCAGCCGCGGUAAGACGGAGGAUGCAAGCGUUAUCCGGAAUGAUUGGGCGUAAAGCGUCCGCAGGUGGCAGUUCAAGUCUGCUGUCAAAGACCGGGGCUUAACUUCGGAAAGGCAGUGGAAACUGAACAGCUAGAGUAUGGUAGGGGCAGAGGGAAUUCCUGGUGUAGCGGUGAAAUGCGUAGAGAUCGGGAAGAACAUCGGUGGCGAAAGCGCUCUACUGGACGGCAACUGACACUCAGGGACGAAAGCUAGGGGAGCGAAAGGGAUUAGAUACCCCAGUAGUCAAUCGUGGAUACAAU